AGCGAUUUACUUCGGUAAAGAGCGGCGGACGGGUGAGUAACGCGUGGGUAACCUACCCUGUACACACGGAUAACAUACCGAAAGGUAUGCUAAUACGGGAUAAUAUAUUUGAGAGGCAUCUCUUGAACAUCAAAGGUGAGCCAGUACAGGAUGGACCCGCGUCUGAUUAGCUAGUUGGUAAGGUAACGGCUUACCAAGGCGACGAUCAGUAGCCGACCUGGGAGGGUGAUCGGCCACAUUGGAACUGAGACACGG
rnacentral:rRNA from 1 species